GACGAACGCUGGCGGCGUGCUUAACACAUGCAAGUCGAACGGAAAGGCCCUGCUUUUGUGGGGUGCUCGAGUGGCGAACGGGUGAGUAACACGUGAGUAACCUGCCCUUGACUUUGGGAUAACUUCAGGAAACUGGGGCUAAUACCGGAUAGGAGCUCCUGCUGCAUGGGGGGGGUUGGAAAGUUUCGGCGGUUGGGGAUGGACUCGCGGCUUAUCAGCUUGUUGGUGGGGUAGUGGCUUACCAAGGCUUUGACGGGUAGCCGGCCUGGGAGGGUGACCGGCCACAUUGGGACUGAGAUACGGCCCAGACUCCUACGGGAGGCAGUAGUGGGGAAUAUUGCACAAUGGGCGGAAGCCUGAUGCAGCAACGCCGCGUGCGGGAUGACGGCCUUCGGGUUGUAAACCGCUUUCGCCUGUGACGAAGCGUGAGUGACGGUAAUGGGUAAAGAAGCACCGGCUAACUACGUG
rnacentral:rRNA from 1 species